UCGAGAAUUUUUCUCAAUGGGCGAAAGCCUGAAGGAGCGACGCCGCGUGGGGGAUGAAGGGCUUCGGUCCGUAAACCCCUGUCAUUUGCGAACAAACCUUAUGAAUGAACAAUUCAUGAGCUGAUUGUAGCGAAAGAGGAAGGGACGGCUAACUCUGUGCCAGCAGCCGCGGUAAUACAGAGGUCCCAAGCGUUGUUCGGAUUCACUGGGCGUAAAGGGUGCGCAGGUGGUUUGGCAAGUUUGACGUGAAAGCCCCGGGCUUAACCCGGGAAUGGCGUUGAAAACUGUUUGAACUGGAGGAUUGGAGGGGGGACUGGAAUUCUUGGUGUAGCAGUGAAAUGCGUAGAUAUCAAGAGGAACACCAGUGGCGAAGGCGAGUCCCUGGACAAUACCUGACACUGAGGCACGAAAGCCAAGGGAGCAAACAG
rnacentral:rRNA from 1 species